GCCAGCAGCCAUAGCACUCUGCAACUCACAACUGGCAACCCAGUGAACCUAAGCAGGUGUGAGCCUGGUCAGUACCUGGAUGGGAGACCUCCUGGGAAAAACUAAGGUUGCUGCUAGAA
rnacentral:rRNA from 1 species